AAGAGAACGAGAUUGCUUGUAAGAGAUAGGGUUCUCAUUUCAGUAUUGAGUUAGUUUAACUUCUGGUCUUUCCUUUUUCUUUUUUCCUUUUUAUCUAUUUGGAGAAGCUUGCAGUCCUUCUAGUUGAUCGAACUCUUCUCAACAUAGAACAGAUCUUGCCUGAAAAAGAUGUGUUUUUAAGUGUACUUGGAUUGACCAAUGACUGAUCUUGCAACAAGUGAAGAUACAAUUGAAAUUCAACCACUUGUGGUGUCUGGUAUGGCUAAUGCCAGAUAAGAUUCUUUGACAUGUAAAGAUAGAUGUCAUAUUGUUGUCAAAAAUCAAAAUAGAUUGAUGAUGUUGUAAUGUAUCUGCUUACCUCAUGUUUUUUUUUGUUUAUUGAGAACGAUGUGUAGUUAUGUUUGUAGACAAACUUGGAAGUUGCAAAGUAAUUUUUUUGGUCAUCAAUGCAUCUGAACUUUGGAAGUUUGCAAAGUACUUACUUUUAUUGAA